rnacentral:rRNA from 1 species
GACGAACGCUGGCGGCGUGCUUAACACAUGCAAGUCGAACGGAAAGGCCCGCUUGCGGGUACUCGAGUGGCGAACGGGUGAGUAACACGUGGGCAACCUGCCCUCAGCUUUGGGAUAACUCCCGGAAACGGGUGCUAAUACCGAAUAUUGACAUUUCCUCGCAUGGGGUUUUGUUGAAAGUUUUUUCGGCUGGGGAUGGGCCCGCGGCCUAUCAGCUUGUUGGUGGGGUGAUGGCCUACCAAGGCGACGACGGGUAGCCGGCCUGAGAGGGCGACCGGCCACACUGGAACUGAGACACGGUCCAGACUCCUACGGGAGGCAGCAGUGGGGAAUAUUGCGCAAUGGGCGGAAGCCUGACGCAGCGACGCCGCGUGAGGGAUGAAGGUCUUCGGAUUGUAAACCUCUUUCAGUAGGGACGAAUUUAGACGGUACCUGCAGAAGAAGCACCGGCCAACUACGUGCCAGCAGCCGCCGUAAAAC